rnacentral:lncRNA from 1 species
GACAAGAUCCUCCCAUAUUACAACCAUCAAUCACCAAACUGUACAAAGAAAAGGAAAAAAAUAGCACAAAAAAUAAGAAAAGGAAAAUAAUUGUUAACCUUUGGCACGACAAGCGCGAGGGAGAAAUGUACGAAAGUUUUGGAUAAUCAAAGCAACUGAGAAACUUGACAAGAAGGCUUAUGUGAGGGACACUAUUUUCUC